rnacentral:rRNA from 1 species
GACGAACGCUGGCGGCGUGCUUAACACAUGCAAGUCGAACGGAAAGGCCCUGCUUUUGUGGGGUGCUCGAGUGGCGAACGGGUGAGUAACACGUGAGUAACCUGCCCUUGACUUUGGGAUAACUUCAGGAAACUGGGGCUAAUACCGGAUAGGAGCUCCUGCUGCAUGGUGGGGGUUGGAAAGUUUCGGCGGUUGGGGAUGGACUCGCGGCUUAUCAGCUUGUUGGUGGGGUAGUGGCUUACCAAGGCUUUGACGGGUAGCCGGCCUGAGAGGGUGACCGGCCACAUUGGGACUGAGAUACGGCCCAGACUCCUACGGGAGGCAGCAGUGGGGAAUAUUGCACAAUGGGCGGAAGCCUGAUGCAGCAACGCCGCGUGCGGGAUGACGGCCUUCGGGUUGUAAACCGCUUUCGCCUGUGACGAAGCGUGAGUGACGGUAAUGGGUAAAGAAGCACCGGCUAACUACGUGCCAGCAGCCGCGGUGAUACGUAGGGUGCGAGCGUUGUCCGGAUUUAUUGGGCGUAAAGGGCUCGUAGGUGGUUGAUCGCGUCGGAAGUGUAAUCUUGGGGCUUAACCCUGAGCGUGCUUUCGAUACGGGUUGACUUGAGGAAGGUAGGGGAGAAUGGAAUUCCUGGUGGAGCGGUGGAAUGCGCAGAUAUCAGGAGGAACACCAGUGGCGAAGGCGGUUCUCUGGGCCUUUCCUGACGCUGAGGAGCGAAAGCGUGGGGAGCGAACAGGCUUAGAUACCCUGGUAGUCCACGCUGUAAACGGUGGGUACUAGGUGUGGGGUCCAUUCCACGGGUUCCGUGCCGUAGCUAACGCUUUAAGUACCCCGCCUGGGGAGUACGGCCGCAAGGCUAAAACUCAAAGGAAUUGACGGGGCCCCGCACAAGCGGCGGAGCAUGCGGAUUAAUUCGAUGCAACGCGUAGAACCUUACCUGGGUUUGACAUGGAUCGGGAGUGCUCAGAGAUGGGUGUGCCUCUUUUGGGGUCGGUUCACAGGUGGUGCAUGGCUGUCGUCAGCUCGUGUCGUGAGAUGUUGGGUUAAGUCCCGCAACGAGCGCAACCCUUGUUCACUGUCGCCAGCACGUUAUGGUGGGGACUCAGUGGAGACCGCCGGGGUCAACUCGGAGGAAGGUGGGGAUGACGUCAAGUCAUCAUGCCCCUUAUGUCCAGGGCUUCACGCAUGCUACAAUGGCUGGUACAGAGAGUGGCGAGCCUGUGAGGGUGAGCGAAUCUCGGAAAGUCGGUCUCAGUUCGGAUUGGGGUCUGCAACUCGACCUCAUGAAGUCGGAGUCGCUAGUAAUCGCAGAUCAGCAACGCUGCGGUGAAUACGUUCCCGGGGCU